UCCAACUUUAUAACCUUGUAUAUCUUUUCUUAUUAGUAUGAUAUACUUAGAAUCUCUAGUACUGGUGGUAAUUUUAUGUUUUCGUCAGCCUUAAACAAAUGUUAAACUUUUUCACUUCACAGAAACAUUCACCCUGUUUGUUUAAAUAAUCCUCCUGAAUUAAGUGCUUAAGACUUACAAUUUAAAUGCACCAACACUCUGCUUGACUUAAAAACCACACACUGUACGAAAUACAAUACGCAGCAGAAAAAUGGAGGUGAGACAUUGUCACCUUUACACGGUUAACCUCACUUGAAGUGUAAAAAAAAACUCCACUUAGCAAAAUAAAACAAGCAUAAGCUGAGCAGGGAACUUGGUGACAGGCGACACGGGAAGGUGCUCGGCUUUGGUCUCACAGCUUUGAUUUUUCUGCUCCGCAGAGACACUUCUCGCAUGUUCUCUUCCACAGUGUAACCUUUAGUGGCGCAGGGAGGCACGGCGAUGAAUCAUCUUUUCCUCCAAACCACACUCAUUACUGUCAGGCCCCAUUUGACUCCUUCCUCAUGAGAUGACAGGAAGCCUGGCAGAAUAUGAACCACAGAUGGGACUAAUACUCCCUCUGCGCUUAUUCUCUGGGACAAAAUCUACAUUUAAUACACCUGGAACUGAUGUUUUCCACAGUCACAGGAAACUUUGGGAUUGACUUUCCCAAAGAGACAGAGCAGCGCAACCCUUUACCAAUUCUACCAGAUGGCUCUGGAGACAUAAAUGACAGUCACUGACUGCAACUCAUUACCCACAGGUUGUAACACACCAUACACUUAUGCAAGUCAAAGCGAGUCCCUGUAUACUUCAGACCCAGUAACAUGGGAAACCCAGGUUGAAUUAUUCUGAUCCAGAUGCACGUUUCCAUCUGUUGACUCCUUUAAAAACACAUUACUGUGAACUUACAUCAUUUCAAGUCAAUGCGCUUGACGUGCUGGAUGAUGAGACAAGAUUUCUUACCACACGCUGCAUUCAGAAAGUAGACACAAUAUAAAGCAACCUGUAGCUAAGACUCAGUGUUUUAUUGCAGAAACCUAAACCUUCCCUGUUUAUCUCGUUUUAUAGAUGAUGUCAACAAACAGCCGUGGAAAAGUUAUUCCCAGACACAAACGUUGAAUCUUCUUAGCAAACGGGGGAAAUCUGUGACUCACAUGCUACAGUAGGUGCUUCUGAAUCAAACCAUCUGUAUCCAGAGUGUUAUUGUUGUUCAAA
rnacentral:lncRNA from 1 species